ACUGAUUGAUGGCACAUUAUUCUAGUCAAUCGCUUUAUUAGGAAGACGGGAUUAAACAACCGUUAUAAGAGCAUAUCUGUGAAACCUCUGGUGUUUGCUUUAUACGCCCAGUUUAGGGUGAAUGCUGGAGAUGAAAAAUGUUGGGCGCUCGUAAUGGCAUACGACAAACGACCCAACAUUUGUGGAGACCUAUUAUUGUGGUGAGCCUAUACGUGUUAACUGAUGGACUCAUUACGAAAUGGGAUAAAACCUGUAUUGUGGCGAAAGUUAUGUACAGCGUAGCUUGUCUUGAGUGAUGGUCUUGGGAUUAAAGAACUUGCUUAUUAAUGUUUGGCCAAAUAUAAUAAGUAUUGCUUUAUGAAAUUGCUGUUGCAAAAGAGAAUUAAUAGUAAAGUGUUAUUGGUGGGGAAAUCUCCUAGAGUGCCGUUAGCAUAGGAUUGCAGUGGAUACUAAGUGGUAAUCAAGUCGUAUGAACGGUGACGUCAUACUCAUAUCUUUAAAGGGGAACCAUAAAUCUGGUAACGGAUUUAUAGACAUGAGGGAAAUCCUACUUGACCUAAGAUUCAAAGUUUACUAUGUUAAUAGCCAUUAGUUUUGUAA
rnacentral:sRNA from 1 species